AAAAUUCUUGUUCCUUUCUCCUCUUCCUCCCGACGCGAGCGGCGUUUCUGUGCUUGGGCGGAAUCGAAGCCGAGUUAGGUUCCCUCCUCCGGCGGCCGGCGAAGGCUUCUUCCGGCGAACCUUGCGGAUCCGAGCUUCUUUCGUCGAAGAGAGCCCGCGGACACAGAAGAAGCGCUGAGAUUUGAGCCCUCCGAAAACCCUAAGAGCCUUCUCCUUCCUCCUUCUCGGUUGUAAGUGCAAGAACAAGGGUUCCGAGAGGAUUAUGUUUUGGAUGGCUACAGAUUUUGGGCUGUGGGAGAUGAUGAGGUUAGGGAUCUUAGAACAAGUUCAUAACACUUCUUGUUUUGUGUCAAUCGGAUGCAACAGAAUUGGGGAAUUUAGAGUUGCCUUACAAGAAAGGAGUGAAGCUGUGAAUUUUGAUGUUUAUGCUUGUUUUAGCUUUACAGUAAGUUGAAUCUGACCUUAUGCAAAGAAAAUGAAUGAAGAACCGGAUUAUGUUUUUCUAAUAGCAAGUGCAGAACCGGAUUAUAUUUUGCCUAUUAGCAAGUGCAAACUUAGUCUAGUUUCUUUAAACAAGUGUAGAAUCGUUUAUAUUGUAGUGUUGUUUCUAAUAGCAGUGCAAAUUUGGUUGCUUGUUUAUUUUAUAAACUUGAGCAAUUUUAUUGUUAUGUUAGUAAGUGCAGAAUACAUCCUUAAUGUCAUUAGAAGCAACCUUUCCUUAUACUUUGCUUAAUUGGAGAUAAUCCAACAUGAGUAGAUUUUAGUGAUACAUGCUUUAGUAUAUCAUGCGUAGAUGUUUGAUAACAGCAGUAUCCCUUCUUAUAUCUCGGUUUCCAUGAAAGGUGCUUAUUUCCAAUUAUGUUAAGGAUUAUAGCAUGUAGUAGUAUGCUGAUUGAGUUUUCCUUGCCA